rnacentral:misc_RNA from 2 species
AACGCACCUUGCGCUCCUUGGUAUUCCGAGGAGCAUGCCUGUUUGAGUGUCAUUAAUAUAUCAACCUCUUCAGCUUUUGCUUAUUGAGUGUUGGAUGUGGGGGUCUUUUGCUGGUCUUUUAAAAGAGAUCAGCUCCCCUAAAAUGUAUUAGCAGAACAAUUUGUUGAUCGUUCAUUGGUGUGAUAAUUAUCUACGCUAUUGACGUGAAGCAGUUCAGCUUCUAACUGUCCAUUGACUUGGACAAUUUUUCAUUAAUGUGACCUCAAAUCAGGUAGGACUACCCGCUGAACUUAA